rnacentral:rRNA from 1 species
GACGAACGCUGGCGGCGUGCUUAACACAUGCAAGUCGAACGGAAAGGCCCUGCUUGCAGGGUACUCGAGUGGCGAACGGGUGAGUAACACGUGGGUGAUCUGCCCUGCACUUCGGGAUAAGCCUGGGAAACUGGGUCUAAUACCGGAUAGGAGCCAUUUUUAGUGUGAUGGUUGGAAAGUUUUUUCGGUGUAGGAUGAGCUCGCGGCCUAUCAGCUUGUUGGUGGGGUAAUGGCCUACCAAGGCGGCGACGGGUAGCCGGCCUGAGAGGAUGGACGGCCACAUUGGGACUGAGAUACGGCCCAGACUCCUACGGGAGGCAGCAGUGGGGAAUAUUGCACAAUGGGCGCAAGCCUGAUGCAGCGACGCCGCGUGGGGGAUGACGGCCUUCGGGUUGUAAACUCCUUUCGCUAGGGACGAAGCUUUUUGUGACGGUACCUAGAGAAGAAGCACCGGCUAACUACGUG